GCUCCGACGUUCAAACACCGAAGGCAUAAAGGUUUGCUGAACACACUUAGAUAGCUACGUUUUUUGUGUCUGCUUUUCCUACAAAUUUCAAACGACGUUUUCCCCCUAGUUUUCCCGUCUUAGUGCUGAGCCAAAAGGAAGUUUCUGUGCAAAUUACAGCCUCAAGAUUUGCAGUCCGUCAGUCGAGCAGUAAAAGCUCAUUUGUAUAUAUAAAUUUAUAUUACUUACCCAAAAAUCCACAUUAUGUUAUUGACAUCUAUUAGCAGGAAACUUUUCCAAAUACACAUCACUACAAGAAGAAGAGAAAGAGGGAACGAAUUAAGAUUUAGAGCUAGGAUGACCAAAUUUGAAAUAAAGAUGAGCUGCUGUUGAGCUCCUUAUUAUAUUGAUCCAAGUUUAACGCCCGUUGUAGUGGGGCAAAUCGGAAAAAAUUUGUUGCUCGCUUUAA